rnacentral:rRNA from 1 species
AUUGAACGCUGGCGGCAUGUCUUACACAUGCAAGUCGAAUGGUAGCGGGCCUUCGGGUGCCGACGAGUGGCGAACGGGUGAGUAAUGUAUCGGAACGUACCAUUGAGUGGGGGAUAACGUAGCGAAAGUUACGCUAAUACCGCAUAUUCCCUCCGGAGGAGAGCAGGGGACCGCAAGGCCUUGCGCUCUUUGAGCAGCCGAUAUCAGAUUAGCUAGUUGGUGAGGUAAAGGCUCACCAAGGCGACGAUCUGUAGCGGGUCUGAGAGGAUGAUCCGCCACACUGGAACUGAGACACGGUCCAGACUCCUACGGGAGGCAGCAGUGGGGAAUUUUGGACAAUGGGGGCAACCCUGAUCCAGCCAUGCCGCGUGAGUGAAGAAGGCC